CUUUUUUUUUCUCUCUCUCUCUCUUUCUCUUUCUCUCUCCUUUUUUCAUUACUCUCUCCGGAACAAAUUCUUUGAGAGAAAGGGAGAGAGAGAGAGAGAGAAAAACAGAAAGAUAUAUAAAACAUCUGAGUUAAUAGCUAGAUAAAUGAUAAGUUAUAUGUAUUUAUCAUUCAAAUAAUAAAAAACCGAAAUUGAGAAAUAGAAAGGAUAAAUGACAGUGUUUAAGAUAAAAAAAACGUUAGUCUGUCUAUUCCUAUUCACUCAGAAAGAAAGUAAGAGAGAGUGU
rnacentral:ribozyme from 1 species